AAGCAAUAGAUUAAGGCAAUAGCUUCAGAUGAUGGAGAAACUCUCAAGGCUCCUCAAAGGAUGCCUGAAUAAAAAAUGAAAUGCAGCUUUUCAGAAUGGGAUCGGAAUUGCCCUUGGCCUCCUGUUACAAAGAUCCUCCUUGCCAAACUUUCUCUGGAUCAUUGGAGUGCAGAAUGAGGAUGCCCUGAUGGAGAGGAGGGAUGUCCUCUGUGCAUGGAAAGGAGCACACAGAAAAUGAGCUUUCCAGGGAUUCCUGGCUAUCACAUCGUGCUGGAGGGGAAGUGAACUUGCCCACACUGAUAUGCAGAAGGAACAGAGCAGCAAAGGGGGUACGGCUUGCCUGGAAGCUCCUGUGCUCAGCAGCAUCAGCAAACUGAGUCAAACUCAAAGUUCUUUGGAGUACUGUCCCAUUUAAUUCCUGGGAAACUGCUGCUUAUGACCUACCACAGCAAGACAUCACAGAGAUGACUCAGGAAAACAGAGAUUAUUUUGUGUAUGGGGGAAAUACAGAGUCAGUGCCUUCCUGCUGCCUGUCCUCCCCUCUUCCAUGCACAACCCCUCACACUGGCAUUGAGAGUCCCCAUCUCCAGGGGCUACCACACCUGUUUCCCUCCCCAGACAAUGGUUUCCCAUCAAAGCCCCUUUGCCUCAGCUUCACAAAACCCCAUCCCAACUCCCCUGCACUUCCAGCAGGGUAAAUGGAGACAUGGCUUUCCAGGGCUGGUCCCCAUAUUCCUGGAGAUAAACUGAAUAUUGAAGGGGAAAGCCCUGGGUUUCCCUGCCCUGUGGCUCUGGGGGAAACUGUCCGUGCUACAGAGAGAAGUGACUGAAGAGUUGCAAAAUGCCAUUGAAUGUAUGACUGUGAACAUUUCCCAUCAUCUGAAAAGAGAAAGGACAACUUCUGGCCUGGCCAAGUGGAGAAGAGAGCAGUUGCUGGAGCAGGAGCUGCCUGGGAGCAGGGAACAGAGCCAAUGACCUGAACCCAGCCCCGUUUAACUCCUGCUGCCCUGCAGAAGCUGCAGUCAUUUCCUAAAGGUCAAAGUGGUGUUAGAGCAGGACAUGAACCCUGGUGUUGUUUCAGAGGGGUGGAUCAAUAAUCCUGACAUGGGAAAGUGGCCAGAGAGGAGGCAGAGCCCCACUGCCACGGAGAGGGCUGGCAGCACUGUGUGGCUUGCAAGCCAGUGUACAACAUGGACUUGCUAAUGUACUUAUGCUUUAAUUGCUGUUUAGCAAUGAGGUGUUUGGGAGGAGUUGCCCAGACAGGAGAGAUUAGAGAGGACCAACAGAAGAAGAGAUGCUAAUCAAUGAGAUGAUGGACUUUCUCUGGUCUGAUAUGUUGGCUAACUCCAGGAAAUUAUUUUUUUCCUCAUACCCUUCCUAUAAGCCAGCAAGAGCUUGGCCUGACUUCACUGAUAUUCAGCACUUUGAAGGUGGCCACAUCCAACCUGAGGAUGUGUCUGACACUGGCCACAGCCCUGGGACCAGCAGCUGCCUCUGCUUAGCAGCACGUUUCAGGUGGUUAUCCAUCUGCACCAUUAACCUUCUUGCACUGAGAUGUGAGGUUUUAUAAUUUAUUUUAAAAAAUAAACCAGUUGUGCCAUCUCAGACAUGAUUGGCAGAACUUCAUUACUCUCUCCACGGGGCUGCAGCAGCAAUUUCUUUACCAUCACAUUCAGCAGAGGCUGCAGGACACUCACAGGCUACAGAAACUCUGAGGUCAUGUGGAAACUUUUCACAUUAAUGAGGGCUCCUGAACAGAAUUCUGUUCUGCAAAAUAAACAUUGCUCCUGGGUAGUUUUUGCUCAUUUAGGUCACUUUCAGCCAUUUUUUACCAUGAGUUUGCUUAGCAGGGAAAAAUAAUCAAAGUUGUAUGAUGCAAGCUACUUGUUUUUUCUUGACGGCGUAAAAAAACAUAUGAGGGACUUUUUAUUUGUAAAAAAAUCUGUGUUAGGAUGAUUGUGGUUACCUCAGAGAUCUGUGAAUUUGGAAACUGUGAAUCCCUGAGAAGCUGACUGGUUGUCUACGUGAUCUAGAAGAAGUCAGUGGGCUGACAAUAACCUUUGGGUUGAGCUAAGCCUACUUUGAGGGGAAAAGGGGUGGGUUUUGUUGGGUUUUAUGCUUGUGGCUGUUUUCUCACAUCUCCAAUUUUCCACUGAGAAGCCACAGAGCCAGAGCAGGCUGCCUGUCCCUGCCUUUCCUGCAGCCCAGUGCACUGGGGACACCUCACAUGGGCUCUGCCCCAACCUCUGCACAUACCUGUGGGGAAGAAAGGUCACACACACCAAGAUGCCAUGAAAGGGGCACUGCUCAGCCAGCCAGGCUGGCUGGAGAGGAGCCUCACAUCUCUCUGAGGUGAUUCCUUAAGGGACUGGUUUUUGUUUGCUCAUUUUCAAGCUUAUAUCAAUUAAAAACCUUUCAGAAGUGUUCCUGUUACACCAGAAUGCAUUCUUCCCUCUCGGAAACCCACGCUCUACUCCUGCAAUUAGAUUUCUUUUCUGCUGCUUUGGGAGAAGUUGUUCAGCUGCUGGUCCUAUCAAUUAUCCACGAGCUGCUGUGCUCAGGCCUCUGCUUGCUUUUACCUGGGGGAGAUUGCAGCAGUGCUGCCUUCUCUCACUUUUGCGUAACAGUUCCAGUAAAAUAAAUGAGUAGUAGAGAUGCUAUUGCUACAAUCCUCUUGCAUUUUUAAAAAGAAAGUCAUGAAAUGGUGAUGAAAUUUCACUGGUUUUUGACCUUGCCAUCCAGUUUCUUGAUGACGUGCUUUGUUCUUGAUGAAUCAAGGGCUUCCCAACUAAAAUUGAAAAUUACAUCCAUGAGCGAACUUUUUUUUUUCCUUUUCCAAGACAACAGGAAAAACCAAAAUUUGAUUAGCUUGUGUGCCUCUCUCUGUUGUAUGCAUGAACACCUAUAUGUACUAAAGGUUUGCCCUGAGAAAAGGCAGUCAGCAUAAACAAAUUUUCAUUUGGUUCUGAAAAUGGUGAGGUCUGUGGCCAUUCUUAUCUUAUCCUACGAGAUCUUUAUUUCCCACGCUCAUGAGUUGCCUCUUAUUGAUGAACAUUUCAUUAUUUAGCACAUGAUCUCAGAUAGCAAAGUGAGGUUUGAUGCACCAGCUUUGUCAUUAUGGUUCUGAAUUUUGCUUACUCAGUUAUUUGGCAAACUCCUUCCAUCCUGUGUUGACAUCUUAUAAACCCAGGGGUUUCCUGGGCUCUGAAAUGCUGGGCUUGUCAGUUCCUACCAGAACCAUGCCAAAGUCUUCUUUAACAAUAUAGAGAUGUCCCCAGCCCAUACUGUGCCUCCAUUAUA